rnacentral:misc_RNA from 1 species
UUCGUGCGUAUAACCACCCACUCGCCCUCUGCGCGCUCGCCCCAACUAACGCCCUCCCACCUACCUCUCUCACAGCCUUCCACACACAUCACACCCCUCAACGGGACCAGACAUGGCUGCCUUCGCCUUCUCGGCCCACGCGCUUCUUGCGGCCGUCAUCGCGAUGCUACUGCUGCUGGCGCUGCCGACACAGGCCUGGUGGGACAAGGGUCACAUGUGCAUCGCCGAGAUCGCGCGCCGGAAUCUCAAGCCAAAUGUGCAGGCAAAGGUGCAGGCCUGCGCCGACGUGCUCAACAAGAUCGGCCCCUUCCCCAAGAGCACUAACAUCGUCGAGCUCGGCCCCUGGGCGGACGACCUCAAGUCCAUGGGCCUCUACACCAUGUCCACCUGGCAUUUCAUCGACACCAUCUACAACCCACAGGACGUCAAGGUCACUAUCAACCCGGUCGAGAUCGUCAACGUCGCUUCCGUCAUCCCGAUGCUCAUCAGCGCCAUCACAAGCCCCGCCGCCACCUCCGACAUCAUCACCACCUCUGUCGCAAACCUCAUCCACUUCGUCGGCGAUAUCCACAUGCCGCUGCACAGCGCCGACCUCUUCUCGCCCGAGUACCCGCUCGGCGACCUCGGCGGCAACAAGCAGAUCGUCAUCGUCAACGAGUCCGCCGGCACAUCCAUGAAGCUGCACGCCUUCUGGGACUCCAUGUGCGAGGGUCCGCAGAACAACGCCGUGCGCCCCCUCGACAAAGACGCCUACGCCGAACUCUCCGCCUUCGUGGAUAACCUUGUCAAGUCGUACUCCUUCACCGAGGAGCAGAUGAUGAUGACCAACUCCACCAUUAUGGCGGCCGAGAGCUACGAGCUGGCCGUCAAGAACGUCUACCCCGGUAUCUCCGACCGCACCGUGCUGUCCGAGACGUACAAGGCCAAUGGCAAGAUCCUCGCCGCCGGCCGCGUCACGCUGGCCGGCUACCGCCUGGCCACCAUCCUCAACACCGCGCUCGCCGGCGUGUCCUUGGACACCAUCAUGAACGGCACGAAGCACAUGCAGGACGAGGUUGAGGUCACUCACACUGGUGACACCUACAACUACUACGCCUUCUCCGGCGUCGAGAGCGGCGCUGCCGCCGGCAUCUUCCUCUCCUCCUUUGCCAUCGGCUGCCUGCUUGCCACCGCCGUCGUGCUCGCCGCUCUCUACAUGCGCCGCGGCAGCUCAAAGGACGAGAGGGCCGCCGCUGCCUCCGCGAGCCACGGAAUUUGAGCCCGCGCACGUGCGCACCCAUCGGCUCCUCGCCUUCGGUGCCUUCAGUUCUUUGCUCUUUAACUUUCUCUUCCCCCCCCCCUACACCGUUGACUUGACCUGCCCCGCCGCCUCCGCCCUCUUAGUUGACAGCCGCUGCUCUCGCCCCGACGCUCUUGCGGCUCUUUGAUUGCCUCUCCCUUUCUUUGCCUUCUCCACGUUGGAUGCUUUUCUCGCUUCGUCCCCCGUUCUCCCCUCGCCUGUUAUCCUCUGCCUCCCUCCCACAGGACUUGCCUGCGUUGGUGGUGCGAGAAGGCCCGGUGGACAGACAGAGAGAGCGAGCGAGCGAGCGAGCAAGAGGGCCGGAGGGGGGAGACAUAUGGAAAGAGAUGGCGCGACCGCCUGCACCACCAUCCCGCCUUCGAUCCCUCAGGGAAAGAGACUCCUCGCCCCCUGCGCGCGGCUCCGUCGUCUUCUUUCGUGCUUUCUUCGCUUCUUUAUCCACUUCACGUGUGCACAUUGGGACACGGAUCUGCUCUUUACGUCUGUGCAUAUAUAUAUAUAUAUAUAUAUAUUAUACGCACAGAGAAAAGUAUUCAUAUAAGUAUGUACACAUAUGUAAUUGUCUAGUUCGUUUCCGGAUUUUUACGGUUUCCGUUUUUAGUCUUUGGUCAGCAUCGUGAUGGCUAGUGGCAUGAGCCCACCCACCCAUCCCUCUCGUCGGUGUGUGCCCGGGCCCGUGUGCUUCUUCGAUCACAAGUAAUAUGUCUGUGUGUCUGCGUGUGUGUGUGUGUGUGUGCUCCUCUAACGUUGACUCUCUCACACACACACACACGCGCGCAGACACCCGCGCUGUUUUCGGUCUCUUCGACGGCAAUCGCCGCCUUUCGCGAAGGUCAUCUCCGAUUAUUAUUUUUUGUUGUUCGCGACCCUCGAGUACGUCAGUGUGUGCGCGCGCUUUAACGUGUGGAGGUCAGGGGAGGGGGGUGUCUGUAGUCGUGUGUGUGUUCUGCACCUGCCAGCCACACCUCCAUCCCCAGGCCCUUUUUCGUGCGCCCUCGAAAGCUUCACGCGCAUUCCUUGUCGCCCUCUGGUCCCCUUUUCUCUCUCGCUCUCCCCCCCCCCUCUUCCAUGGUGCUGUCAACUAUUCUUUGAAGAGCGUGCCCAUGCAUAUACAUGUAAGCCUGUGUGCGUCGUACGCUUUCUCUCUUGAGAGGGAGACAGAGGCAUGGCGAGGCAGACGCGAGAGAGAGAGGUGACGCGACUCCGGCGCCCUCAAGGAAUCAGCACAGGAGUAGCGGAAGGUGGCGCGCCAUCCCUACGUCUCUCCUCCUUAACCCUCCCUCUCACUCUCUCGGGGCCUUCAAUGUGUGUUUCGCUUUUUCGCUUCUCCUUUUUUGGAUAAGCAUAACGGCUCAAAGACAAAUCUUUCCGCCGGCCAUCAUGACACCCAGGCUCAGGGUGAACACAG